rnacentral:tRNA from 1 species
GGGAAAAGUAGCUCAGUUGGUUAGUAGUAGUAGCUUGUCACGCUAUUGGUCGCGGGUUCGAGUCCCGUUUUUCCG